ACCUAGGAAACAGAUGACUAAUAUCGGAUAAAACAGAUGAUGCCUAUCAACUGUUUAAAAGAUGGUUCUGCUAUCACUCUUGGAUGGACCUGCGGUGCAUUAGCUAGUUGGUAGGGUAACGGCCUACCAAGGCGAUGAUGCAUAGCCGAGUUGAGAGACUGAUCGGCCACAUUGGGACUGAGACACGGCCCAAACUCCUACGGGAGGCAGCAGUG
rnacentral:rRNA from 1 species